rnacentral:rRNA from 1 species
AACGAACGCUGGCGGCAUGCCUAACACAUGCAAGUCGAACGAGACCUUCGGGUCUAGUGGCGCACGGGUGCGUAACGCGUGGGAACCUGCCCUUAGGUUCGGAAUAACUCCCCGAAAGGGGUGCUAAUACCGGAUAAUGUCUUCGGACCAAAGAUUUAUCGCCUUUGGAUGGGCCCGCGUUGGAUUAGCUAGUUGGUAGGGUAAAAGCCUACCAAGGCGACGAUCCAUAGCUGGUCUGAGAGGAUGAUCAGCCACACUGGGACUGAGACACGGCCCAGACUCCUACGGGAGGCAGCAGUGGGGAAUAUUGGACAAUGGGCGAAAGCCUGAUCCAGCAAUGCCGCGUGAGUGAUGAAGGCCUUAGGGUUGUAAAGCUCUUUUACCCGGGAUGAUAAUGACAGUACCUGGAGAAUAAGCUCCGGCUAACUCCGUG